UUGAAACUUUGUCCAUGUUUAGCAUGGGAAUCCAACUCUUUAACAGUGUAAAAAACUCAGUAUGCAUGAAAUAGCAUUUCACCCCCCCCCCCCCCUUUAAACUAUAAACCAACUUCAGUUCAUGUUUGAUGUAAAGCAUAUUGUGAUGCAACUGUGUUGAAGAGAUGCAGAGGAUCAUAUGGGCCUGUUUAUGUUUAACUGUAGUAAAAUAUAAAAUAUUUUAUAAACAAAUAUUAUAUAUUUUAUAUAAAAAAUAUAUUAGGCUUACACUGUACAUGGCAAGAGGAAAAACAGACUAUUAAAUUGCUAAUCGCAGUUAUUUGUUGACAGAUGUCAUAAAAUUCAUGAUCGUGACAGGCAUACUCCUACUGUACAUAUACAUCAGAAAAUUCGGUGAAUAAUUUGAAUAGAAUAAAUUUGUGUAGAAGAAUGGAUAGUUUUCUUGUUAUUUCCGUUUUCACAAUAUAUAUCUUUUACAACAAAGGCUUUUUGCUGCAGGCCCACCAUGUCGUAAUUACCAUAAUCACUAGAUAGCCUGUGACUUUCAACUCAGGGUUUGGUCAUGUCCUCUCAAUAAGACUCGGAAUAAUGUGUUUCUAUAGCAACUCUAUUAACCUUGAAAUGAAUCUGUGUAAUUUGAGUAAUCAAUAAAACCCACAAUGGAAGAAGUAAAAGUGCUUAUGCAAAUGCCUUUUUAAUAGCAGUAUAGUUUCAGCGGGAUAUUAGAUAUAGUUAUUCAACUAGCUACAUAAUUACAGUAAUUCUGGCAUGGCGUGAAUGCAGCUUUCAUAUCAUCCUACAAAUUCUUGUAGUGUACAUGCUGUUGUUUUUUUGGUGCCCAGGUUACCCAUCUCUUUCCUGGAGGACUGUAACUAAUAAAAAAAGUGUCAUAGUCCUCAUUCUGACAUUCCUUUCCAGAGCUCCCCUCACUGAUCCUCAGGUAGUUAAGGGCCUUCCUGAGCAUAUUUUACAAGCAUGCUGAAAACAGUGUGUACAGAGGUACAUGGAAAACAUAUUUUUUCCAUUUUUCAGAGGUGCGUAUUUAUAAUUUUCUUUUUUCUUUUUUUUUUUGUUAACAUCAUCCACAACCUUUGGCUGAAGUUGAAAAGUGCCCAAGGCUACAGCCAUUAACAAAUGCAAAUAAUGUUAUCAUCUUAGAAGGUUUAGAGGUCAGACACAUCAGAACUGUCAGACAUUAUUUAUCUUUCACAUAAUACACACAUAUGACAUUUGUCAAUUAUUUUUUUUUCAGAUGGAAGGGCAAAAUGAACUGAGUUUGCAACGACUCAAAAAUAGAGGCGGGGCUUCCAGUGUAGACAGCUUAAUUUAUUGUAGUACAAGCUAUUUAGUUUAUAUUUUGUUUUAUUAGAAACUCACAUCUGGAGUAAACAGUGUUGUAGUCAUGACCAUCUCUUUGGAGUCUGAGUAGGCUAUACAAUUAACACAUUUAUUUUGCUUUGACACAAAAUGCAUACAGUUAACACAAAUUAAAAAAAAUACUAGAACUUCAUUUACAAACAAGCUCAACCAAGACCAGAACAAUUGCUUUAUAAUAAUAAUAAAAAAAGUGAAUUGACAUACAGCUAAGUAUGGUGACCCAUACUCAGAAUUCAUGCUCUGCAUUUAACCCAUCUAAAGUACACACACACACACACACACACGGGCACCUCAGUGGUGGUAUUGCUGGCCCGAGACUUGAACCCACAACCUUAGGUUUAGGAGUCAAACUCUUUAACCACUAGGCCACGACUUCCCUUUUUGCUACCAAAUUUACAAAUGCUUUCACACUGUAUGUCAGAACAGUUAACAUCAUGUUCUAAAUAUAACUUACAGGCUGAAGUCAAAGUAAACAUCUGUUAUAUUGUGAUUUGAAACUCAUAUAUCCCCUGUUUUUUAUUCAUUAAUGAGACACAGCUGAUAGAAGUUCUGAAAAUAUAUGAAUUAAAUCUUAUUCCCAUCGCUGUGUUAGCUGUUAGGGUUCUUCCAACCGCAUGAUCAUAAGGUAUACAGUAAAAGAGGACCUCUUUGGGCUGAUCUUGUCUGGGGAAAAGUGCACUACUGCAUAAAUGUGAGAUUUUAGAAAACCUGCAUGAAAGACUAGUGCCAGAGGUUGAAAGGUGAUGGGUGGGAAACCAUUGCCAAUAUAUGAGAUCACGGACUGGUUUGACACCCAUUCGAGAAUGAUGUCCCUUUUACUUGUCCCUUACUCCACUUUUCUUAACCCCAUUGAGGAGUUUUUCUCAACCUGGAGAUGUACCAAAUGUCCCUCCUGAAUUCAAUGGAUUGAGCAAUGCCAAGACAUCACAUUUGAACUCUGCCAGGGGUGAAUGAGGCACACCAAAAGAUGCCUAGCCAGAGAAGAAGAUAUCAGCUGUGAUGUGGAUGAGAACAUGUGGCCAAAUCCAGAAGACGGUCAGAUUAGAAGAUUGCUUUUUAAGUAUUUUUAUGUUUGUUUAUUUUAUAUUUUCACAUGGCAACUGUAUUGCUUAUUUUUUGUUAUCUUGCAGUAGUGUCCUGUUGCAAAUAAAGCCUUUAUAUAAAGCUACUCUAAGAUUUAUUUAUUUAUUUAUUUGUAUUAAAUAUCUGCAGCAAAAGAAACAAAAUGCAUGCAUUUACCAAACCCAAGAAAACAAAAAUGUAGGGCGGCUUAAAAAACAACAACGACAAAACACAAUCUAUGAUCAAUACAAGAUACUAUUGUAAUAAAGGGAAGAAAUGACUUUAAAUAAUGCAGUUUCUGUAAUUCUGUCUAAUGAUGUUAGUGUUUUUAUGACAUUGUGCUUUGGUGGACUAAAAGUUCCUGUUGGAAGAGAACAUGUGUCACUGUUUUGGAAUAAUUAUUUGAUUUUGAGAUAUGUUUGCAGUUUUUGGUAGGCAAGGUGUAUUGUGUUCGUGUAUUAUUGUAUUUAUUUACAGUGUGUGAUUUAUGAGCAUGAAAUUAACUGUUUUGCCACUUUUGUGUUGUUGGUGUGUUAAGAGUUUAGGAAAAUUGUUAUGAGAAUUGAAAAAAAUAAUUGUAAAAAAAACUGUAUUAGGCUGUUCAUCUGAUUUCUUGAUGUUAAUAUACGGCCAGAUUUGUCCAAUACCCUGUACAUUUAUUUACCUAAGGAUAAGAAUAUUGUCUUCACCUUUCUCUGAAAGCAGCAGGACCACACACGGCUUUCUCUCAGGCAGUACCUGUAAGGCUGUUACUCUUCAGCUUUUGAUGGACAUUGGCAGGAGAUGGAUCGAUCGGACUGAAACUGGUAAUUAGCUUCCAGUGGUUGCAGAUGACAGCCUGCUCUCAUGGUGGGGAACAUCCGCUCAUUAUGAUGUGUUGAAAAAAGAUCAAUUUUAAAGUGCACAAAUAUUGAUUACAUUCAAGAAUACAAGAAGGAUACUUCAUAGUUUGUCUCAUAUCCAUUAACAAGCACCAUCAGCUUGAAGCAGUGGUUAUUCUGCAUUAUACGUUUAUUUUUGUCAGACAUUAAUUACCUUAGCUUUAUAAUAAGCAAGAAUACAUCACCUUUCACAACUUUCCCCAAGGUUUUGGCUUGCUACACUCUUCAAACAGGAGUCAGAGAGAUGUUUUGCUUUCCUUUAGUUAGACUUCCUCAGAGAAAAGUGAAAGAGGUGAACAGACAGAGAAUAGCAGAAGGGAAAAGGGGGCGAGAAGGAGAGCUGGACGGGCCUAUUGGGAGGUAACAUCUUUGGGAACUCUUGGUUGGAGACAGGUGCGCGGGAUGGUUGGAUGAAGUGGAUGUCAGCCUCUGCAACUAUGGGACUGUCAGAGCUAUGCUAAUGAGCCACAUAGAUGCAUUGUGUGAGUCCGUGGGGAGUGUAGCGAGUUUCUUUGAGCUAGGCAAAUGAGCAGUCAACGGACUACAGCUCUAACACAGUCGAGAAAGAGAGAGGCUUCUCUUUCUGUCUGCUGUUGUUUAAGCUCAGCUUUUUUAUGCUCUGUUUGCCGACGUUUUUCUCUGUAUUUAAACCCAACAAAGAAAAACAUGGGUUUCCCAAAGUCAGAGCAGGGGAUUUUUAACCUAAUGCUUUAUUUUUAAACCAUGAAAACACAUUUUCCUGUUUUCCUCUUCAGCUAGGCCUUGCUAGAUUUAUCCAGUGGAUGUCACCUUAGAAUUAAAAACUGUUUAAAACCUAUAGCUUCUGCAGAGUUGAAAGGAAGGUCAACCUUUUUUCUUCUUGCACGGUAUAUGUGACAUUGUCUGUGAGCUUUACCUUGAUUGCAGGCAUUUAUUACAGUACUUUCUCUUUCUUUGUCUACCUAUGUAUGUGACCGUGGAAAUAUGCCAUCCAGUGACAUACACUCAGAUGGCAAUGGCACUUCUGAACCCUCCGAGAGAAUAUUCACCAUCAAUAAUGAUGGAGGGGUUGGAAACCGUAGCAGCAUGGCUGGAGACAGAGCAGGCUCUCCGAUCACUGUCCAGGGAACAGCAGCGUGUCUCUUCGUGGAUGGGCUUGAUAGUGAACACAGCUGUGAGGUACGGCUGCUGCUAAUUAAGCCUCAUCACAGCAGCCAUGAAUCCAGCUUGUUUUCCUGACACUUUUUUGGGGAAAAAAAGCCUCACUGAGGUGUGUUACUGCUGCUCCCGUCUUGUUGGUCUUCGUUCCCUGACACAAUGGUGCCACAUUUGUCCACAAAGGGCUUAAUGAGACAUCUUAGUCCACUUUAUAGCAACAGUGCUUCACUCAAGAUUGUGAUGGAGUAUUUAUCUCACCUCAAAAUCUCAUCAUCCUGACCAUUAUAUUGGCAGCUCAGAUCCAGGCUCAUGUCUGGAGAAGGCCACAACAUAAGACUUCUGGGCUGGGAUCACAUGAUUAGGCAUAACUGAUACUAAUGUUCAUUCAUUCCCUGUUACUGUCUGUGUGUUUUCUAUAUUCUUUUAAACUUAAAUGUUUUUCAGACAUUUAAAUCUUGUAAAACACAAUUUUUUUCCCUUGGAGACCUUGCUUUUGUAGUUAAAGACAUUUCUGUUCUUUUUAAUUAUACAUCAUUACAUUCAAAUUUGAAUGACAGGAAUUCAAUUGAUAUUUUAAGGAUACUCUCAAUUCAGUUCUUUUAUUUCUUUAUGAUCCACAUGAUCCUGAUAGUUCACCCAAAAUUUUUAAUUUAAUGCUGUCAUUUACUUCACCCUCAUAUCAAAGUAUGACUUGUGUUGUUUGUUUGUUUGUUUGUUUUAUCAUUUUAGUGUUGUUUUAGACCCCACCGACUGACUUUGUAUGGACAAAGAAAUAGUUUUACAUAGUUGUAUCUUCUUUAUUUUCCACAGGGGAAAAAAAUGAUAAAGUUUUGGAAUGACAUGAGGAUGAAUAAAAUAUGUUGUUGUUUUUUUU